rnacentral:lncRNA from 1 species
GUGAAUUGAUGUUUAAUUUGUGACACACCUGGAAUAUACUUAAAUUUGAAAUGAUUCUAGAAUUUUUACCCUUAGAUGAUUACUAUCAACUAAAGUUCUUCCUCCCUGAGAAGGUGAGGAACUUUGUUUCUUUCAAUCACGGGAAAACAUUUCGUUUAACUCUAUCUUCUCUUCUUGAAAUGGGCUAUCAGGUAGACGUUUUUGCUUUCACCACCAACUGAUGAACUUUUACGUUCUAUAAAUAAAGUUCGCUUGUUGCAUAAAUCACUAGAGCAUAUGGUGUUCCUCACUCCCAGAAGUGAGCAUUUAUAUGGGUGACCUAUCCUGAGAAGUCCCAUCCCGAAUGGACUAGAACCAAUGCACGUUUUAGCUGCACCAGCAUUGAAAAUCAAGAUGUCUCAAUUUAUAUCAUGCUGUAUGCUGCUAUAAGGAGUAUGGUUAGUGAAGCACUCUGAUGUUGAUAGUGGGGCUUCUAAGACCAGUCUAUUGGUAAGUCCUGCUUAUGAUCCAUGG